rnacentral:lncRNA from 1 species
UGUGGAAAAUCGAUACUCUGGAAUACUCCCGGGUGAAGGCUACAUCGGUAUCCGUGCGCUUGUGGAUUUUUCUGUUUGCGUUUAAAAUACCCAACAAGCUUUCUGGCGCCGUUGCCGGGGAAUGGUAGCUGUGCUAGUUUCGAACCAAGUCGUCCAUGUAUCCUUUUUCUUUUCCUUUUUUUACCACAAUCACCUUAUCAUUUUCACCAUACCACAUGGAUUUCACUCUAAGCAUUAAUGAGCAUGGAAUUUAUUUCAUAGCCACUUCAUUUACUCCAUGCUCAUAUGCAACAUCUUCACAAUC